AUGAACGCUGGCGGCGUGCUUAACACCUGCAAGUCGAACGAAGCAUUUGCGACAGAUUUUUUCGGAAUGAAGUUGCUUAUGACUGAGUGGCGGACGGGUGAGUAACGCGUGGGUAACCUGCCUUGUACUGGGGGAUAGCAGCUGGAAACGGCUGGUAAUACCGCAUAAGCGCACAAUGUUGCAUGACAUGGUGUGAAAAACUCCGGUGGUAUAAGAUGGACCCGCGUCUGAUUAGCUAGUUGGUGAGAUAACAGCCCACCAAGGCGACGAUCAGUAGCCGACCUGAGAGGGUGACCGGCCACAUUGGGACUGAGACACGGCCCAGACUCCUACGGGAGGCAGCAGUGGGGAAUAUUGCACAAUGGAGGAAACUCUGAUGCAGCGACGCCGCGUGAGUGAAGAAGUAAUUCGUUAUGUAAAGCUCUAUCAGCAGGGAAGAUAGUGACGGUACCUGACUAAGAAGCUCCGGCUAAAUACGUG
rnacentral:rRNA from 1 species